GGGUUGGAGGGCGGCUGGCCAGCAGCUCCAGUGCCCCCACAGCACUGCCUGGAGCAGCACCUGGAGCAUCACCUGGAGCAGCACCUGGAGCAGCACCUGGAGCAUCACCUGGAGCAUCACCUGGAGCAUCACCUGGAGCAGCACCUGGAGCAGCACCUGGAGCAUCACCUGGAGCAUCACCUGGAGCAUCACCCAGAGCAUCACCCAGAGCACUGCCUGGAGCAGCACCUGGAGCAGCACCUGGAGCAGCACCUGGAGCAUCACCUGGAGCAGCACCUGGAGCAUCACCCGGAGCAUCACCUGGAGCAUCACCUGGAGCAGCACCUGGAGCAUCACCUGGAGCAUCACCUGGAGCAUCACCCAGAGCAUCACCCAGAGCAUCACCUGGAGCAUCACCCAGAGCAUCACCCAGAGCAUCACCUGGAGCAGCACCUGGAGCAUCACCCGGAGCAUCACCCAGAGCAUCACCCAGAGCAUCACCCAGAGCACUGCCUGGAGCANNNNNNNNNNNNNNNNNNNNNNNNNNNNNNNNNNNNNNNNNNNNNNAGCUCAUCACCCAGAACAUUUCCCAGCUCAACACCCAGAACAUUUCCCAGCUCAACACCCAGAACAUUUCCCAGCUCAACACCCAGAACAUUUCCCAGAGCAUCACCCAGAACAUUUCCCAGCUCAACACCCAGAACAUUUCCCAGCUCAUCACCCAGAACAUUUCCCAGCUCAACACCCAGAACAUUUCCCAGCUCAACACCCAGAACAUUUCCCAGCUCAACACCCAGAACAUUUCCCAGCUCAUCACCAGAGCAUCACCGCAGCAGCCGAAGGGAGCGCAGCCGCUCCAUGGGUGACGGGCAGGCUGAGCACCCUGCACAGACGGAGCUGGAGGAGAUCACCAGCAGAAUCUCUGAUCUGAGCAAAUGGAGAGAAAUCUUUAGUUUCCGUGGUUUGGAAAUCAACAGCACGACUCAUCAGGUAACUCCUUUUCCAGAGGCAAUAUUUUCUGUUUGUCUGGUGAGUUUUGGGCUGUCCUUGGUUGGCACAAGGACACACGUCUGUACCUGCAGCCCAGGUAUCUCUGGAGAUUCAUUUCUCAUGCUGCUUCUUUGAGAAAGAGACGUUCUCUUCAAAUAUUUUGAAAUCAAAGGGACAGGCCAGUCCAACAUUUGAUUAAACUUUCUCUCAAAAAAUAAUGGUUUUCACAGUGAGUUUUAGAAAACAAACUAAGAUCUCCAAAAUGUAAGUACUUGGAAAACUUGCUGUGCCCUUAGGUUGGGAGCCACUGAAGGGUAUUAUUCCCUGCAAUUCGGACAAACACAGCACUAUGACCUGCUCCAGUCACCAGCUCGUAGGGAUGUGUUGGGAAUGUCUGCAGAAGUGAAGGGCACCCCCGUCCCAGGGCACCCCAACCCCCUGGCAGCGACAGCCAGGCGUGGUGCCCAGGCACGGGGGGAGCUCGGGGAUGGAGGUGCUGUCCACUGCUGUCCACUGCUGUCCACUGCUGUCCCCUCCUGUCCCCUCCUGUCCCCCAGCCAGGACGGAGCAGUGCUGCAGAAGGAUCACCCGGAG
rnacentral:lncRNA from 1 species